rnacentral:rRNA from 1 species
UAACCAGGAUUCCCCUAGUAACGGCGAGUGAAGAGGGAAAAGCCCAGCACCGAAGCCUGUGGCAGCUUUGCUACUAGGCAAUGUGGUGUUUAGGUCGGCUCGCGGGAUCGCCACUCCACUCCAAGUCCAGCCUUGAUUAUGGUUGCCAGGAAUUGGCCCAUAGCGGGUGAUAGGCCCGUAGGGGUGGAGGUAUCAGAUGUGUAAGGCGAUUCACCAGGCCGGCCUUAGAGUCGGGUUGUUUGCGAAUGCAGCCCAAAGUGGGUGGUAAACUCCAUCCAAGGCUAAAUACUGGCACGAGUCCGAUAGCGAACAAGUACCGUGAGGGAAAGUUGAAAAGUACUUUGAAGAGAGAGUAAACAGUACGUGAAACCGCAUAGAGGUAAACGGGUGGCGUCAAGCUGCAAGCCCGGAGAAUUCAGUCGGUCAGGGUGUUGUGUCUGCGCCCAGCGCAGCUAUCAGUCGGUGUGCUUGGGCUAGUCCGCCGGUAGAUGGCGGGCCCAGCUGUCACAGGCUGGGAUUUGCCUUCCGAGUGUUAGUCGGAGCAAGCUAGUCGUCCGUGGGACUGCCUGGCCGAUGCACUUUCUCUGUGGUGUACACCACGACCGGUGGAACUGCCAGUCUACCUUAGCCAGCUUCGUGGCUCGCUCUUGGCCUCUUCUCGGGGCUGGAACGAGUGGCGAUCACAGGCAACUCCAGUGCACGGUGCUUGCGGGUUUUCGCUCGUAGGCAUGCUAUCGGGAACUGGUUGUCAACGAGUCUGUUUGGCCCGGACACUGUCCUGUAGUCGCAGUGUGCAUUCUGGGUGACUCGGUGGGCUAUGGCGGCAGGAGAAGCUGUGCAGGGCACCGGAGAUGUCGGUCUGUAUAUACGACGGCCGCACACGCACUACAGCUUGGCGUGUGUCAUGCAGGGCACUGAUAGCGUUGCCAGGGUCUGCCAACGCUUGGGUCUGAUCAUCGUGUCGCCCGUCAAAAUGACGGGUCCGGUGGUGGCCUGGGCUUGGAUGGUGCCUGUGGGCAGCGUGGUCAUAGUGCGGCCGUAUUGAGAGACCAGAUAGUCAGUGGUGUAGUGGUAGACGAGCUACCCGACCCGUCUUGAAACACGGACCAAGAAGUUCAACAUGCGCGCGAGUCAUGGGGUCCUACGAAACCCAAAGGCGCAAUGAAAGUGAAGCCUUGCUUGCAAGGUGUGGUGAGAUCCCGCUGUUUCUCGCAUGCAUUUGUCACUUGUGACGAGGACUGGCAGCUGGGGCUAGCUAUGUUGUCUCGCACAACACAUCUAGACGAGCAGUGGGCGCAUCACCGGCCCGUCCCAUGAUGUGGCUAUUGGUUCAGUGCAGUGGUUGGGCAACCGAUUGUCUGUCUGGCCGGUACGUCAUCGGGGCGGAGCAUGAGCGCGCAUGUUGAGACCCGAAAGAUGGUGAACUAUGCUUGCGUAGGUUGAAGCCAGAGGAAACUCUGGUGGAGGACCGCAGCGAUUCUGACGUGCAAAUCGAUCGUCAAACGUGAGCAUAGGGGCGAAAGACUAAUCGAAC